GGAUUUCACAGAGAAUGCACAUCUCUAAUUAAGGCCGUAUUACACAUGCUAUGCAUUCACAGCUAAACUCAUUUUGAUGAAUAGGGAACAGCUGUUCCUGAUAAUGCCAAGAUAUGGAUCUUCUUCCUUUUAAUGCUGAGAGGCAGCCUCAGUUGGGCUUUUGAAGGGUAUCAGUGCUAAGAUAGAAGAAUCACGUUAGUGCUUUUGAACUUUCUAGAGAUAAAUGAGACUAAACCUUGUGUUAGUGCAGCGAUGGAGUGCAGAGCACUGCUGGGCUGGGUGUUGGUCCCAGCUCUGCUGCCUGAUGAGCAGCAUGGGAUUUUGGGGACAUUGAUCUGUCUAGGCUCUGCUGUACCUGGUGUGUUUUAUCAGUCAAGGCUUGCUUUUGGCUGGGGGAAGACCUUGAAGAGUGCAUGUUUGGAGACUACCUAGUGGAAAGCUUCUGGCCAGGUUUGGUUUUGGGAGCCUCCUCUCUGUGAAGGGUUAUGUGACUGACCGGUUGCCUCUAGUCCUCCAGCCUCAGUCACGGAAAAGAGAAGUGGGACUCGCACAUCCUCUUCUCUCAUGCAGCGCCCGUGGAGCUGCAGCGUGGGUCCCUGUGAGGGCGGUGCAUGGGGUGGAGAGCUGCUGGCGGUGGGCGAUGUGCUGUGAUGAUGUGCUGUGACGUGCUGCUCCUGCCCUAUGGCCAUGAGGUGGAAGGGAGUGCUGAGCUUACAGCGUCCUGUGGUGACCACGGUACGUGUAUGUAGUAAAGGACUGAGCUGGGUGGUACCAGGGCUUUCUGCUUCUCCGCUCCGAGCAGUCGGGAUCUGCUAAGGGACGAAGGUCGUGGAGGGAGGAAAAUUGGUUGAGGAUGGGAAUUUCUGCACUGAACAUCCGUCAGAGAUGAGGAAGAGAAGAAGUCCACUGGCUUUUUCAGCAGGGGGGACCUCAUUUACUGACAGCCUUGUCUAAGGUCAGAGGAAACAGAUGUGUUUGUGCUUUGAGAUGUCUCUGCAGCAGAAGCUGCCUUGGGAUGCUGUUUGCUUUUCUUAAAAAGGCAGUGCACAAACAAACUUUGCAGCCGUGUGAUGCCUUUUGCUUUCGAUCAUGCUUCCCAGAUGAAGGAGGUCUUGGCUGUGAAGCGGGCCAUUUGUCCAGCACCACUGCAUUGAUCCCUGCCCCGCAGUUACGCGUGAGGAAUUUCUUGGCUUUUGAGAAUCGACUGAACUGAACUGGGCCACAUUUGUGAAUCCCCUUCUGCCGGAGAGCAAGUGCCUGAAGUGCUUUUUGUCUUCACUUCUGUUGAUUCAUAAGUAAAGGUCAUCAUUAUUUAAGGCCUCUUGAGGCUUAUGAAGCUCCUGGGAGAGCCUGCUGGGUGUCAGCCGGGAGCAGGCAGAGCUCAGAAAUCCCGGCUGUUCCCCGGGUUUGUAGGAUGGGGAGUGCGCGAACCCACCACGAGGGAGCACCCUGCCAGUGCGCCUGCUGUGGGGUGCCCUGGCCAGCCUUUUGCUUGGAUCAAUGAGUCCCAAACGUGAACAAAGACUCAUGUUUUAGCUCAAACAUUUAGACCAGGUCAACUUGCGCUGCUUUUCCUAUACUUUUGAGUUAUUGUGGAGCUGUGUGUGUUGGAUACCUGGUGCUUUCUGGUGGAACAAGUUGUACUCCUGGGGUUUUCUCAUAUUCAUUUCAAAGUGAGAGGUGAAAACAAAACGAGAGAGUUCGUUUUCACAGUGUCUUUUGCUUCCAGUUAGAGUGCCAACGUUUCUCCCUGCCCAGCAGAGGUUGGCUGCAUGGCUCCACGUGCCUCAUCUCCCAAGUCCCCUAACGAGCCCUGCCAUGUGUGGGCAUUGGGCAGGUGCUGCUCAGCUCCCAGGUGGGCAUCAAACCGUAAGCAGCGUCAAAGAUUGGCCUUAUUAAAAUGUGGGUUCUUCUGUAAAUCAUCUGGUAAUAAGAGUGGAAACUCAGCCGGUAAGUAGCUGAAUUCCUGCAGAACCUGGAGCUGGCACAGUUCUGUGCCGGCUCUCCCAGCCCGUGCCUUCCCAUCAGCUCCUCCCUUGCAAAGAUGCCGAGCGAAGAUGAGCUCUGUGCAGAAGAUAUCCUGUGAUCAAGGAGGCAGAUGUAUGAGCUCUGCUGGCAAUAGAGCCCAGUGUGACCCAGCGCCGUGUGGUGACAAGCAGCUGGUGGCCCUGCAGGGCUGGCUGUCCCCAUGCCUGCCCAGUCCCCUGCCCGCUGGGGGUGUCCAGAGCUGUGGCCUGGAGCUGCUGGGGGACUCGGGCUUUAUCUCUGUGCCAGGUGAUCCCAGCUGGGUGCCUGGACCAGUGCUGGUCAGUAAGCUUGUGCCGUUCCGGUGGAUGCGAUGUGUUUAAUACACGUUUACAAGUAAGUAUCACGAAGGUGUUCAGCAGAAGUGGUGGUCAAAAUUAAUAUAGUAACUGCACAGCACGGUGCUGGAGGGUGACCCACUGCAUCUCUCGCCAUAAAACAAUCUUGACUUCGUGUCUUAACAUAAUUAUCCUAAACAAUAUGCUCUGAGCCUGUGGACUUCACAGCUAUUAGGAUGCUUGGCUGUAGCCCAUACGCUGCCUUUGCUUUUCAGGGCUGUUUUUGGUUUGUCCUGUAUUGAAAUAACAUUGGAAAUCAUAAUAAAAAAAAAUCAAUAUCUCAUCACAGUGUAAUUGCAUGAGCUACCCUUCCUUCUGAUGAGCAGUCCUAUGGGCAAGAUAAACCUUUCAUUAACCUUGAAUUUUACAUGUGCUAGCGCGUUUCAGAAUUUAACUUCAGCUGAGACACACAUGCAACCUCAUCUUGUCUCCUUUGUAAGUGCCAGGGAGAUGUAACAGCUCAGCACAAGGGGUCAGCUCAUCAGCCUGCGACAACAGCAUUUGAAAAAAGCCCUCCCAGGUCGACUCCUGCCAUGGAAGCCCGCAUAUUUUAAAAGUAAUAUAGGCAUAACUGUCCACCAUAUUAGAAAAUAAAAUGUUGGCUCUCUGGGUAAUUAGGAGACCUUUUAAAAAAAAAAAGUGCAUAAACCUACUUGCCAGGAUGGUGAAGAGCCAGCCUCAAGGAACAGGUGAGGGGCAUCUGUGGACAGAGCUCACGCUUGUAUUGUUGUGUAGGAAAUUGAUGGUCAAGAGACAGAUAGUGUGUAAAUUAAAAAUAAGCAGCAGCAAAGAAAAGGCUGGUAAGGCAACGUUCUCUAGGAGGACAGAGAAGAAAAAAAGAACUCAUUUGGCCACUACUUAAUUUAGAUGUGCUUAGGGACUCCUCUUGUAUACGUUUAGGUUUUCUUUGACUGUUUGCUGUGUAAUUUUUAAAGGUUCUUGCCAAGUUGCCAUAGCAACUUCUGGAUUGCAAACAGCACAUUCACUGCCCGCACGAUAUAAACUCCUUCCUGAAGUACGCUAGGAUUGUUUUGUUCUGUGUUUUUUACAGGUUGAGACCCAUUGCUAGCUCUGACUGCCCACCCAGUGGGGCUGCCAGGCAGCCCAUGACCUCCUGUGCAGAAGCUCCCUGCCGUUAGAGGAUGCGUGGCCCUGGGAGGGGGAGCAGCAUGGGCUUUGUGCCGUGCACCUGAGCCUGAUGAAGCAGGACAGUCAGAGUGCCUUUGCAAAAGAAAAUGUGGUCACUGAAAUAGCAUUUAAUGGACAUUUGGGGGAAUCAGAGGCUUAUGUAGACUUCUUGCUGCUCCUCGCUGCAGGGAGCAGAGGUGGCAGCGGAUGCCUGCACUCCACAGCCAAUUCUCAGCUGCUUUGAGUGAUGUUUCUGGGCCUGAGCAAAAGCAGUAUGCCUGCAGCACUUGUGAUUGAAACCGUGACAUCUUCAGAAAUUGCAUUUCCAGGGGUAUUCCUGAGAGGAGCAGGGGGCAGGAGGCCAGCAGGCCAGUCCUGCUGGCACGCAGCCUGAGGGCAGCCAGCUGAGACCUUCUUUUCCUUCUGCAAUACCUGCCUGUCAGAUCUGAAGUGCCCCUUUGCCGGUCAUGGUCAUGAGGAGUCGUGUGGCAAGGCUGACCUCAUCCCCUGAACUUCAGAGGAAAGCAAGGAAACUGAUUACUAAUGCAUGGCAGUGGGACAGCUUCAGAAGAAUGGCUUUGUCUCCUGCAAGGAACCACCAGGGCUGCAGGAAGGACCCCGGCUGAUGUUGCUGGAGCUUGGGUAAGGCUCCGGAUUGCUAAAUCAUCGCAUAACGUCCGAAUUCUUAUCUGGUAGCAGCUGCAGAAACAACCCCACCAAGUCCCCCAACCCACAGCUGUUUCGAUGUUCGGCUACGAGUGCAAGACGUGGUCUGUCUAAUGCAGUGUCCGGCUCUGCUGCCCACUGAAAUGACUAGCAAUGUUCCCGUUCGCUUCAAAGGUAUAGAGUGAGGCUUUUGAUCCCCACUUUGGGAUUUUUAUUUCAAUUUUCAGAAAGCAGAGUCCACUUCAGCUAUUUCUUCUAAUGCAAAGAAAAUUGAUGAAUCUUUGUUUUGAAUUUAUUUUUGUACUUUAAAGGGAAUUUUUAGUAAUUUAGUUUUAAAAUGUGCUGUUUGCUUUGAAUAAUUUGUUUGUGGUGGUCUUUAAAAAGAUAUAUUUUUUUCCUUUAUUUUCUUUCAAAUCACCACAUGCAUAUGUUGUAUUGGUGUGCAAGAAACACAAAACACUGUUUUUCAUGAGUUGUUUUGGAAUUUAAU